CACCACAUGCUCUGCAUUCCCGUCGUUCAAAGGGAUCGAAACCAGAUCUUCGAUUGGGCCGCCCCUCUUCUCAGUGAGGUCGUCGCGGGCAUCCAACCCAUCAACUGGACAGGGGUUGGAUUGGUCGCUUCUUUGCAAGGCUAUGUUGUAGCAGUGUCUGGCCAGGGCUUGGUCUCUUCUGACCUCUCCGAUCCCCUGGUUAGUAAAGAAUUUCAUCUUCAAAUGGUAGGUUGACACGAUGGCUCGGAGAGCAUUGAGGCCAGAUCGGUCGAGGAUCGCGUUGUAGGCUGACGGCGCCUUCACCACCAGAA
rnacentral:lncRNA from 1 species